rnacentral:lncRNA from 1 species
GAGUCUUGCGCGUGCCGGGAGACUAAGAGACUGAGACCGCCCAGGGGAUCAAGAGGCUUUGUGCACGCUCUCCGCAGAGGCCUCCGUGACGGAACCGGGAUGACUGAACCCGAGUCCGAGGCCAGGUGGCCAUCAAGAUGAGGCACAUGGUCCCCGAAAACUUGGACGUGGGGCGCCGGUUUGACGUCUGUCAGCCAAUGGAAGGCCUGAUUAAGAGAAGUUUGGGGCCGAUGUGCAGGAAGUUUUCGGCAUCUUCCAGAGUCUGCGCGUGACGUAAUCACCGAAGGACAGACAUAGCAUUUAGUGCGGAGAGAAGGAGCAGGCCAUGGAGGGGCUGGCCUCAGACUCCGAGACCAAAUGCACACAGAAGUGUCUGAUGGAAAUCAGUGGUCAAGGACAAGCUAUAUAUAUUUCGUGAAAGAGAGAGAGGAGAGAGAGAGGGAGAGAAGCUUAAAAAUCGCUGCCAUCUGCGAAACACGGGGUUGUUGGAGAAGAACCAUUAAAAGCUAGUUGACAACCAACUAUUUCAAGCCGUUGGAAUGUCUGGUCAGAGUUGUAGACCUCAUUUGGUCCCCUGUGCCAAGGAGAUGAGUCUGUUUUGGAACGCAUGGCUUCCUGUUCUUUUACGGAAAGAGACAAAAAUCCAGGAAGCUUAGAGGAGACUAAGGAUGGGAUGCCCAUCUGUAUGUGUGUUCGCGCGUGCAUGUCAGGGACUCAGGUGACAACAAUAAAACUCUGCGACUUUACAAAGACCCUAAUCCCACUCUUUUGGAAAAGGUUAAACUACCCGUUUCCCCAUUUUAUGUCAUACACACGGAGAACUGUCACUAACCGUUGUCUUCUCUUUUCGUUACUUCACGAUUAUCGUACCCUUGAAGCCUAGAAGCUAAUUGGCAGAGAAAACUCUUGAAUUAAAGGUGUGGGUGAUUAUGAACAGAAGUCCCAGGCAUUCAGACUCCUCCCCAGCCCUCCAAACUCCCAGGGGCUUGUUUUCUGUAGCCCUUGGAUCAUAAUAUUUUCCAGACAUUCAGGAAUUAUAUCAAGAAGACAUUUGACCACUUUGCUCCCUGCGUUGAAAAAGAAAACUCACUUAAGUAACACAGCAGCCUUAUACUACUUUUAGUAGUUGUAAAAGAAGUUUAAAAAAAAAAAAAGAUGACACAUAGCCAGUCAUUCUUAAAGCUUGCGAGAAACUUAGGAGUAUGUUGUGAGUGGCCACACACGUUUCCCUAGAGCUGAUGAGAUUUAAAAAGAAUGGAGAAUUGAUUUGGUUAAAAAUAAUAUUGGGAAAAGUGAGCCAAGAGUCUAUAUCCAUAGACAAGAAGACCAAUCCCUGCAACCACAGACUGAAGAUGACUCUAAGCAAAGCGAAUGUUGCCUAUGCUAGGCCUCAGCCCUCACUGGUUGCAAUUGCCCUGGAUCCUGGCUUGAGAUGGCUCAGCAGAUAAAGGCACUUGCUGGCAAGCUGAAGACCUGAGUUCCAUUCUUUAUGGUAUAAGGAGAGAGCUGACUCGUACACGUUGUCUUCUGAAUGCCACACCGUGGCACAUAGUCUUAAGUGCUGGCACAUAGAGACAUACACAUGCCACAAUAUGUGUGGAGGUCAGAGGGCAACUUGCUCUCUUUCCAUCAUUUGGGUUCUGGGAUUGAACUUAAUUCUUCAGGUGUGGUGGCAAGCACUUUUACCUAAUGAGCCAUCUCUCUGGCUCAAACUCAUCUCUAUUGGCUCAAUAGGUUGUCUAUUUUGUUGAACUAAAACACACACACACACACCAGAAUAAUCUAGAUACAAAAUAGUGCCAUAACCAGUUUAUGCUGUGUCUCUUUCCCUAUGUCUGGAGUUGUAAUCAUUGUCAAGUUAGGAUAUGUCACAUUAAAGAGCUAAAUUAAAAAUUUGGAAA